rnacentral:lncRNA from 1 species
ACGUUAGACCUAAAGACGGUGAACGAGUCACCGUCUUUGUGAGAAAUGCUGAUGUGGCGGCUGAGGUGGCGAGAGGAGGGUUAGUUUUACAAAUAAAAGUUUCACAGGGUUAUUUUGGCAAUUACGAAAUUUCACAGGGUUAUUUUCGAAAAAAGUCCUUUAUAUACGUAUUUCAUAUAUAUAUAUAUGUGUGUGUGUGUGUGUGUGUGUGUGUGUGUGUGUUUGCGUUAAACAAGUGUAUAUGGUGAACACCUCAUGGGCAUUUAUUAUUAUUAUUAUUAUUAUUAUUAUUAUUAUGGUUUAGCCAAUAAUAAUAAUAAUAAUAAUUUUAUUAUUAUUAUUUAGAAGAGGGUAUUUUGAUUAUGACCAGCUUAAUCGGAGAUAGCCCGGAUGUGACGAGAGGGAGUAAUUAACCGGAUACCUACGGGUACCCGGGAAGUGUGAACCGUUUAUCUCUGAUGGUUAUUAUCUAUUACACUAUAUAUUUCUUUUCUCGUUGCUAAAGAAUAUAUAGUCCAAAAAAAAAUACAAAACAAAAAAAAGGAUAAAAAAAUUUGCACCCCUAAUAAAUUCCCACUCUUAUUCCACUUCCACACCUCUUAAUUAUUUAUUUAAAUCUUUUUCGUUUUUCCGUCUGUUCAUUUUUCGUGAAAACAGAUGUCACUUUUCAAAAGUGUCAAUUUUGGUACUUCAUUUUAUGCUAAGUAAGUGUGUGACAAUCAAAAAAAAUUUACGAAUGGCCAUGGGGAUUGGAACAUUGGUCACUGAUAGGGCAUCAAGCAGCCUAUUACGAACUUAUUUUUUUCAAAUAAAUUCUUAAAAAAAUUAUAAUUUAUUAAAUAUCUUUAUCAAAAUUAUUUUGUAUAUUUUUUUUAAAAAUGAUAAACAAUUCACUGUUUCUUUCUAUUUUCUUUAUAGAAUCUUUGCAAUCAUAUAAAAAUUUCAACAAAUCAUGUAUUCACCUAAUUUUAACAAUUAAACAAAAAUUCUAAUAAUCCACAUAAAUUCUAAGAAACUUACAAAAAUCCUCACAUCCCGUACAAAAAAUUGAUCAUCCACAAAAUCUUAAAAAAUUU